rnacentral:rRNA from 1 species
AGUGAACGCUGGCGGUAGGCCUAACACAUGCAAGUCGAACGGCAGCACAGUAAGAGCUUGCUCUUACGGGUGGCGAGUGGCGGACGGGUGAGGAAUACAUCGGAAUCUACUUUUUCGUGGGGGAUAACGUAGGGAAACUUACGCUAAUACCGCAUACGACCUACGGGUGAAAGCAGGGGAUCUUCGGACCUUGCGCGAUUGAAUGAGCCGAUGUCGGAUUAGCUAGUUGGCGGGGUAAAGGCCCACCAAGGCGACGAUCCGUAGCUGGUCUGAGAGGAUGAGCAGCCACACUGGAACUGAGACACGGUACAGACUCCUACGGGAGGCAGCAGUGGGGAAUAUUGGACAAUGGGCGGAAGCCUGAUCCAGCCAUACCGCGUGGGGGAAGAAGGCCUUCGGGUUGGAAAGCCCUUUUGUUGGGAAAGAAAAGCAGCAGGUUAAUACCCCGCUGUUCUGACGGUACCCAAAGAAUAAGCACCGGCUAACUUCGUG